CGGGGUUGCGGACAGUGUCUGGUGGGUAGUUUGACUGGGGCGGUCUCCUCCCAAAGAGUAACGGAGGAGCACGAAGGUUAGCUAAUCCUGGUCGGACAUCAGGAGGUUAGUGCAAUGGCAUAAGCUAGCUUGACUGCGAGCGUGACGGCGCGAGCAGGUGCGAAAGCAGGUCAUAGUGAUCCGGUGGUUCUGAAUGGAAGGGCCAUCGCUCAACGGAUAAAAGGUACUCCGGGGAUAACAGGCUGAUACCGCCCAAGAGUUCAUAUCGACGGCGGUGUUUGGCACCUCGAUGUCGGCUCAUCACAUCCUGGGGCUGAAGUAGGUCCCAAGGGUAUGGCUGUUCGCCAUUUAAAGUGGUACGCGAGCUGGGUUUAGAACGUCGUGAGACAGUUCGGUCCCUAUCUGCCGUGGGCGCUGGAGAAUUGAGGGGGGCUGCUCCUAGUACGAGAGGACCGGAGUGGACGCAUCACUGGUGUUCGGGUUGUCAUGCCAAUGGCACUGCCCGGUAGCUAAAUGCGGAAGAGAUAAGUGCUGAAAGCAUCUAAGCACGAAACUUGCCCCGAGAUGAGUUCUCCCUGAGACU
rnacentral:rRNA from 1 species